AUAAACAGACAAGGAACUACGUGUAGCCACGUUUCCACGUGUAACCCAUGUCUCUUUAAGCAUCAAGAAUACCAAAGGUUUCAUUAGUGAUAGGAAGGGUGAAAUUCGCUGUCGUAAUUUUUUGCUUCAUUUUUUUUUUUAAAUUUCACCUACAACAUAGAUCACCGAGGAGGAGGAGCCUCAGCCGCAGUCGCAGCAGGUCUCUUUCAAGAGACAGACGUAGAUAUCGGUCUCUCUCCAGAGACAAGAAUCGUAAGCGCUCAAGAUCCUUCUCACGGUCAAGGAGUCGUUCCCGGUCUAACGAGAGGAAAUGAAGUACUCGGAGGAUGGUUCAUCUGCAGGAUCCUGCUAUGGUUGUGAAAAUACAAAUUUUUAUAGUCAUGUUCUUCUUUUUAGAUUUUGUUUGCCAGCUCAAGGCAGUCUAAGGUCGGUUUGUUUCAUAUGGUGUAAUAGCAGUCUGUUGGAUUAACA